GGUCCCAUAGUCCAGUGGUUAAGACGCGUCGUUUACACCGACUAGAUCCAGGUUCGAUUCCUGGUGGGACCA
rnacentral:tRNA from 1 species